UGGGGGACUGGUACUUCGACCGGGCUGUGUCUCAGCGGGUUGACUGCCCGUAUCCCUGCAACCAGUCCUGCAUUGACAAUGAAGAUGACUGAGCAAUUGGGUCUGAACUUCAUUCUCGAAAAGAAAAAAAGUGGGCCUGAACUUCAGUUAAAUGAUGCAGGAAUAACAUGGAUUUAGACCACAUCCAUAGCUACAGGUAGAAUAGGUGAUUCUUCAUAGACGGUUACUCACCCGUUCUGUGUUUUUUGAUGUUUACUACUCCUGAGAAUAAAAAGGAGGAGUUGUGGUAUGAACUUGCUGCGUCAAAUGGUUAUUUAGAAGGACUGUGCUAACAACCAGUCGACUGGUCGUUAGCGACAGAUCCGCACGACGUUCGAUCGAUCCUCCGGCUGCGUCGUUCCUUCGAUCCUCCCGUUUCCCGAUUUUCUUUCUUCUAGAUUUUCUUUCCACCGAUUUUUAUCUCACCUCGGUUCACAGAUUUUUUUUUUCACUCGGCUGGUUCUAUAUCAAUUAGUCUAGAUAGCGGAGAAAAAGAAAUAAAGUGCUUUGCUCACUGCCAAUCUGGAGCCCAGGACUCGUGGAAUGCCGACGGUUCCCCUUCGAUUCAGAAGAUGGUACGUCUAGCAGUUUUGAAAUUGGCCCAACAGUUUUCUGACGAUUCAGUUUCAAACAAUUUUAAAUCAAGGGAGAUUCAGUGAAAAAUGUGCGAAACCCCGGUCGCAACUCAGCUUAUCUAUGAUCUUUUCACAUCUGUUUGCAGAGAAUUGGCAAAGCUGUGGGGGACUAGUACUUCGACCGGGCUGUGUCUCAGCGGGUUGACUGCCCGUAUCCCUGCAACCAGUCCUGCAUUGACAAUGAAGAUGACUGAGCAAUUGGGUCUGAACUUCAUUCUCGAAAAGAAAAAAAGUGGGCCUGAACUUCAGUUAAAUGAUGCAGGAAUAACAUGGAUUUAGACCACAUCCAUAGCUACAGGUAGAAUAGGUGAUUCUUCAUAGACGGUUACUCACCCGUUCUGUGUUUUUUGAUGUUUACUACUCCUGAGAAUAAAGAGGAGGAGUUGUGGUA
rnacentral:lncRNA from 1 species